rnacentral:sRNA from 1 species
UAAAUCCUUACAAGCAAAUAUAUUGGCAAGGCUAUAUAUAAACUCUCCCCAGCUUUAAUCCUGAGAUUCCCGCUGAGGACACAUGAGUCAGCUGACAGUAGCUGGGAAGAGAAGAAAUUAAAAAACAAAGAAAGAAAGAAAACAUUUCUCAGAGGCAGGUGAACAAGUUCAGUUAGGAGAUAAGGGCCCUGGAGAGAGACUCAUCAGGGUUUGAUUUAGCCAGAUGCAAAGGUGACAGGAACGUUGACCUUCUGUUCUUUAGAAUUCUUGUAGCAGUAUUAAGAGCAACGAAACAAAGAUUUAGCAAGCCAUAAACCAGGGUGAAAGAUCUCAGGAAGGGAGAGCUAAACAUCGAGUAGUGGAGGAAGUUACACUUAGAAGAUCAUGCUGACCAUGUUCCCCUUCAUCUGCAUCCCUGGAAGCAUCAUCACAUCUGCCCUUGCUACAUCGCCUCACCAGAUCUUCAACUAUACCUGGGUGAUUCUUAAUGGCACCGGAGAUGUGGUGUCUGACAACUCCACCACCGCUGCACGAAUUCCCUGCCCCAUUCUUGAGUUCCUGCAGUUCUGGGAAAGAGGUACCUCCACUCGUACAAAGAGAGAACCCAUCACUGCCGGGACUCUUGCAAUACUCCUAGGCCUGUCAGCUGUGGGGACAGGAACUGGGGUUGCCU